CCGACGGUGAGGGGUGAAAGCUGGGGGAGCAAACCGGAUUAGAUACCCGGGUAGUCCCAGCUGUAAACGAUGCAAACUCGAUGAUGCGUUGGCUUAUUGCUAGCGCAGUGUCGCAGGGAAGCCGUUAAGUUUGCCGCCUGGGAAGUACGUACGCAAGUAUGAAACUUAAAGGAAUUGGCGGGGGAGCACCACAAGGGGUGAAGCCUGCGGUUCAAUUGGAGUCAACGCCUGAAACCUUACCCGGAGAGACAGCAGAAUGAAGGUCAAGCUGAAGACUUUACCAGACAAGCUGAGAGGUGGUGCAUGGCCGUCGCCAGCUCGUGCCGUGAGAUGUCCUGUUAAGUCAGGUAACGAGCGAGAUCCCUGCCUCUAGUUGCCACCAUUACUCUCAGGAGUAGUGGGGCGAAUUAGCGGGACCGCCGCAGUUAAUGCGGAGGAAGGAAGGGGCCACGGCAGGUCAGUAUGCCCCGAAACUCUGGGGCCACACGCGGGCUGCAAUGGUAACGACAAUUGGUUUCGAAUCCGAAAGGAUGAGGUAAUCCUCAAACGUUACCACAGUUAUGACUGAGGGCUGCAACUCGCCCUCACGAAUAUGGAAUCCCUAGUAACUGCGUGUCAUUAUCGCGCGGUGAAUACGUCCCUGCUCCUUGCACACACCGCCCGU
rnacentral:rRNA from 1 species